rnacentral:rRNA from 1 species
GACGAACGCUGGCGGCGUGCUUAACACAUGCAAGUCGAACGGAAAGGCCCUGCUUUUGUGUGGUGCUCGAGUGGCGAACGGGUGAGUAACACGUGAGUAACCUGCCCUUGUCUUUGGGAUAACUUUAGGAAACUGGGGCUAAUACCGGAUAUGAGCUCCUGCUGCAUGGUGUGGGUUGGAAAGUUUCGGCGGUUCGGGAUGGACUCGCUGGUUAUCAGCUUGUUUGUGGGGUAGUGGCUUACAAAGGUUUUGACGGGUAGACGGCCUGAGAGGGUGACCGGCGACCUUGGGCCUGCGGUACGGACCAGAAUCCUACGGGCGGCAGCAGUCGAGAAUAUUGCACAAUGGGCGGAAGCCUGAUGCAGCAAUGCCGCGUGCGGGAUGCCGGCCUUCGGGUUGUAAACCGCUUUCGACUGUGACGAAGCGUGAGUGACGGUAAUGGGUAAAGAAGCAACGGCUAACUACGUG